GAUGAACGCUGGCGGCGUGCCUAAUACAUGCAAGUCGAGCGAACAGACGAGGAGCUUGCUCCUCUGACGUUAGCGGCGGACGGGUGAGUAACACGUGGAUAACCUACCUAUAAGACUGGGAUAACUUCGGGAAACCGGAGCUAAUACCGGAUAAUAUAUUGAACCGCAUGGUUCAAUAGUGAAAGACGGUUUUGCUGUCACUUAUAGAUGGAUCCGCGCCGCAUUAGCUAGUUGGUAAGGUAACGGCUUACCAAGGCGACGAUGCGUAGCCGACCUGGGAGGGUGAUCGGCGACACGGGAACGGAGACACGGUCCAGACUCCUACGGGAGGCAGCAGUAGGGAAUCUGCCGCAAUGGGCGAAAGCCUGACGGAGCAACGCCGCGUGAGUGAUGAAGGUCUUCGGAUCGUAAAACUCUGUUAUUAGGGAAGAACAAAUGUGUAAGUAACUAUGCACGUCUUGACGGUACCUAAUCAGAAAGCCACGGCUAACUACGUG
rnacentral:rRNA from 1 species